GGGAUUUUUUCCUCAAGAGAAUCAUCUGAGGGAAAAGACUCAAUCUUCCAUUAUAAAAAGUCCUGGAAAAUUUAAUAAGGAGUGGGGAAAAAAAAGUGGACAAUUAUAAAAUACACUGGAAAAUCACAUCCAUUUUAUGCCAUGUUUGGGCCCUUCAGAUCUUUAGCAGGACAUAAAAGGAAGGUAUUGCCCAUGUAAUUCUACAGAGUUUGCAGUAGAAGAACACAGUUUGUCUGCAGUGUUUAGAAACCUUGGUUCAGAACCACUAGCUUUGGAGAUACAGUAUUGUGAGGUCAGAAAAUCUUUCCCCUAAGUGCAUUCCAUGGCAGAGUGGUGUUUAACUUGACCAACAGAAGCAAACAGAAGGCAGUCAAGACUGUGGCCAGGAGAUGUGUGUUGCAAUCUGUGGUCACUCUAAUGCCACAAGAUGGACUGCUUACCUGUUAAGAAACAAAACCAAGAAAAUAUCAUUUUGGCAUCAGCUGACAAUGAGGGUCAAUGAAGAGUCAGAGGAGCUGUCUAGAAAACCAAUCAACUGCCAACCAACCAAUCAGCCAGCAACAGCCUAUUUGGUUUUCAGACAAAACCCACUCAGAAAAUCUGUGAAGGAUGCUACCUGGAUAACUAUUAGAAACACUCUGCUGAAAUUAAAAACAAAGAAACAGACUAAGAAAAUAGAAAAAUGUACAGUUUUAGCCACACCCUUUAAUGUUUUCUCAGACAUGAGAAGCAAUUUCACUUCAGCACUUCAUUUAUUUUCACCUUUGUUUUAGGACAGUCCUCAGUUAUUGGAAAAAUACUUCAGGCACCAUUAUAGCCAAGGCAUGUUCAGUGAUGUUAAGAAUGUGACUGACUGCUCCGAAUGUGACUGACUGCUCCAGCUUUUUGUGCCAAGGCCAAGGCCCCUCCUGCCCGGUUUUUGAGGCCCAGCCUGAUGCCCAGAAAACUGCCUCUGCCCAGGCAGGUAUAUCUGUCUGCCACUGUCCCCUUUGCAAAGCUGAGAAUCUGUCCCAGAGGCAUGCAGACAUGUAUGGGACAGUGACAUGGCCAGUCACAAAGUCUGCCACAGAGAAAUCUGCCUUCAACAAUGCCUAUGCCCAGGACCCACAUAAAACAUAGACAGACAUCUCUUCCCCAUCUUAGGCCAGCAGAGAUAGCAGGUCCCUGAUGAGAGCACACACUAGAGAUCUCCAGGCUCAUCAGCACACACAAAUUCAUGCACACCCCAAACACGGCCAUUAUACCCACCUGACACCCCUGCCCAUAUCCCAGACACUUCUGCACACACACAGCACCACAGACAGCACUUGCACACUCAUCUCUCAUGCAUGCUUCAUGCACAAUCGUCGACCCCAUUUUAUACCCUCUUCUGCCUCCAGCCUCAUUGUUCCUCCAUGCCAAAGAUGUCCAGAGCUCUACCAGCUCUCGCGUGCCUUCCAGUUCUAUCGGUUCAUGUGGCAAGAUUUUGGUAGCUGGGGGCUGCAGGGGUGGCCUCUGUGAGGAGCCCAGAAAAUGCCCCAUGUUAGAUAAGGGCCAUUUUCAGCCAGCUCUGAAGAAACCUGCCAAGCCAGUAAGCUAUGUUGUUUGCACCUCACUGAGAGCAUAGUUAAUAGAAAGAAG
rnacentral:lncRNA from 1 species